ACAGCAGCUACAGAGAAAUGAGGCUAUAAAGGAGCAAAAGCGAGAGAAAGAAUCAGAAAGAUUUUUUCAGAGAGCCGGAAAUAGAAGGACUAUGCGUGAAUGAGGCAGGUAGUGUGCGGUGACUAAGCAAAUAAGUGAUGCCUCUUUUCAAGCGCAGUAUAAAACAAACAACUGACAGAGAAAGAGAGAGAUAGGGAUUGAAAACAAUACCGUAACGGUUGGCCUAAUCUUUAAAAAACUCUUUUUUUCUACGAAAAUUGCAGCUUUUUACAUCUCAG
rnacentral:misc_RNA from 1 species